GACGAACGCUGGCGGCGUGCUUAACACAUGCAAGUUGAACGAAGAGCGAUGGAAGCUUGCUUCUAUCAAUCUUAGUGGCGAACGGGUGAGUAACGCGUAAUCAACCUGCCCUUCAGAGGGGGACAACAGUUGGAAACGACUGCUGAUACCGCAUACGAUCUAAUCUCGGCAUCGAGGAUAGAUGAAAGGUGGCCUCUACAUGUAAGCUAUCACUGAAGGAGGGGAUUGCGUCUGAUUAGCUAGUUGGAGGGGUAACGGCCCACCAAGGCGAUGAUCAGUAGCCGGUCUGAGAGGAUGAACGGCCACAUUGGGACUGAGACACGGCCCAGACUCCUACGGGAGGCAGCAGUGGGGAAUCUUCCGCAAUAGACGAAAGUCUGACGGAGCAACGCCGCGUGAGUGAUGACGGCCUUCGGGUUGUAAAGCUCUGUUAAUCGGGACGAAAGGCCUUCUUGCGAAUAGUGAGAAGGAUUGACGGUACCGGAAUAGAAAGCCACGGCUAACUACGUG
rnacentral:rRNA from 1 species